rnacentral:rRNA from 1 species
CGGCGCAAGGGAGAGUAACGCGUGGAUAUCUGCCCUCGGCUCCAGAAUAGCUACGGGAAACUGUAGGUAAUGCUGGAUAAUAUCUCCGGAUCAAAGGUGUGAUUCCGGCCGAGGAUGAGUCCGCGUCCUAUUAGAUUGUUGGUGGGGUAAUGGCCUACCAAGUCGAAGAUGGGUACCGGGUGUGAGAGCAUGGCCCGGCUCACUGGGACUGAGACACUGCCCAGACGUCUACGGACGGCUGCAGUCGAGAAUCUUCCGCAAUGGGCGCAAGCCUGACGGAGCGACGCCGCGUGCGGGAUGAAGGCCUUCGGGUUGUAAACCGCUGUCAGUUGGGAGGAAAUGCUUUGGGGUUCUCUCCAUAGUUUGACCGAUCUUCAGAGGAAGUACGGGCUAAGUACGUGCCAGCAGCCGCGGUAACACGUACCGUACGAACGUUAUUCGGAAUCACUGGGCUUAAAGAGUCCGUAGGCGGCUAUGUAGGUCAGGUGUGAAAUCCCACGGCUCAACCGUGGAACUGCGCUUGAAACCAUAUGGUUAGAGGGAGAUAGAGGAAAGCGGAACUGAUGGUGGAGCGGUGAAAUGCGUUGAUAUCAUCAGGAACACCGGUGGCGAAAGCGGCUUUCUGGGUCUCUUCUGACGCUGAGGGACGAAAGCUAGGGGAGCGAACGGGAUUAGAUACCCCGGUAGUCCUAGCUGUAAACGAUGAGCACUAG